rnacentral:rRNA from 1 species
AUUAAAGUUGUUGCAGUUAAAAAGCUCGUAGUUGGAUUUCUGGUAUGGUGCGCCUGGUCCACCGGGGUAACCCGUGUGAGUGCCGGUGUGCGCCUGCCAUCCUUGUACAGAACGGCUCUACCCUUUAUUGGGUCGGAGUCGCCAUGUACAUCUUUUACUUUGAAAAAAUUAGAGUGUUUAAAGCAGGCUUGCGCUAUGAAUACAUUAGCAUGGAAUAAUAAUUUAGGACUUUGUUUCUAUUUUGUUGGUUUCUAGAGAUGAAGUAAUGAUUGAUAGGGAUAAUUGGCGUGCUAGUAUUCAUCGGCCAGAGGUGAAAUUCUUGGAUCGAUGAAGACUAACUUAUGCGAAAGCAUUCACCAAGGAUGUCUUCUUUAAUCAAGAACGAAAGUUGGGGGAUCGAAGACGAUCAGAUACCGUCGUAGUCUCAACCAUAAACUAUACCGACUAGGGAUUAGUGGAAGUUGCUUUUUCGACUCCAUUAGCACCUUAUGAGAAAUCAGAAGUCUUUGGGUUCUGGGGGGAGUAUGGUCGCAAGGCUGAAACUUAAAGGAAUUGACGGAAGGGCACCACCAGGAGUGGAGCCUGCGGCUUAAUUUGACUCAACACGGGGAAACUUACCAGGUCCAGACAUAGUGAGGAUUGACAGAUUGAAGUUCUUUCUUGAUCCUAUGGGUGGUGGUGCAUGGCCGUUCUUAGUUGGUGGAGUGAUUUGUCUGGUUAAUUCCGUUAACGAACGAGACCUCGACCCACUAAAUAGACUGGCGUACCUUAGGGUACGUGCAGGACUUCUUAGAGGGACUGUCGGUUUUUAGCCGAAGGAAGUUCGAGGCAAUAACAGGUCUGUGAUGCCCUUAGAUGUUCUGGGCCGCACGCGCGCUACACUGAUACGUUCAUCGAGCUUACAACCUUGACUGAGAGGUCUGGGUAAUCUUUUUAAAGCGUAACGUGCUGGGGAUAGAUUAUUGUAAUUAUUAAUCUUCAACGAGGAAUUCCUAGUAAGCGCGAGUCAUCAACUCGCACUGAUUACGUCCCUGCCCUUUGUACACACCGCCCGUCGCUGCUACCGAUUGAAUGCAUUAGUGAGCCACAGGGAUUGUGGCACUUAACCGGGGCAACUCGGUUCUGUGUUGUGAGAACUGGUGCAAACUUGCGCAUUUAGAGGAAGCAAAAGUCGUAACAAGGUU